AGCUGGCUUGGCUGACGCAGGCUGUUGAUGGCACGCUUAUUUACGCCCGUGAAUGCACGCUCAAGCAAGGACCUGAAAAACCUGCAGUGUGGGCAGCAGGGAAACCGCUGAACAUGUGCCCAGGUUACAUCUCUCCUGGUUAUUCGGGUUUGAUAUGCAGGCGGUGACUUCUGAGUUUCAUGGAACUUUCUCAGCACCUCCUUCUUGUCCCUGAUCUCUUUCUUCACCAAGUAAGAGGCUUCCCCAAGACUACAUGAGAGGUGCCGCUGGGAGGAAGGAAGAAACAAAGGACCCUGGACCCUUGUGCCAAGUUCCUUAUUUUGAAUGGGUUUCCAGUUAGAUGUAGCCUCAUUUUAAACCAUAGGCUUGGUGAGGUUGAUUUCACAGCUCUGCGGGCUGGAUGCCAAGCUAAGAGCCUGGACAGUUGCCCAAUCAAUGAAAAGUUGUGGUUCUUUUUUUUUUUUUUUUUUUUUUCAGGCACAGAACGAACAAACAAAGAACAGUUAGAGGGGAGGUUUAGGCUAGGAUGAUACAAUUUUAGGUCCCCUUCAAAAAAGAUGUUUUCAUUUCUUUCUUCUGCGUCUAUACUUUCAUCCCGACUUCCCCUCCCCUUCCUUUGUUAAUGAAAUUCCUAUCUAAGAGUUGAAAGAUUCCCCACGAGAGCCCAAAUAAAAAGCCAGUAUGUGAGCAAGCCUGUGGGAAGAUGUUCUCCAAGCGUGAGUGUGUUCAGUGGGUCAUGUGACUGUCAGUGGAAACGUGUCUGAGGGUGAGGACUUUUUCCUUGUGGUGGACUUGAGGAACUCUUCGUUGUCACAGAUCAAGAGAGUUAGGAUGAAGGAUGUCGUCAAAAGAACAUGUCUGGGAGAUGGUCGGUGACUCAGUAAAUGUUUGUUGAGUGACUGGAAGAAUGGUGGAAAGGAAAGAGUCUGGUCUUCUGUAUGCAGGCUUGGAUUCAAGUCCCAUCUCUGCCACUUCCCAUCUGUGUGAGCCAGGACAAGUUAUACAACUUCUCUCAGACUCAGUUUCCACAUCUAUAAAAUAGGUUUGCCACCAGGACUAGAGAUAAUAUAUGUAAGCUGCUUAGCAUAAUGCCUGGAACAUAGUAUAUGCUCAAUAAAUGGUAGUUACGCCAA